UACGGGGGGGGCAAGCGUUGCUCGGAAUCACUGGGCGUAAAGGGUGCGUAGGCGGGUCUUUAAGUCAGGGGUGAAAUCCUGGAGCUCAACUCCAGAACUGCCUUUGAUACUGAAGAUCUUGAGUUCGGGAGAGGUGAGUGGAACUGCGAGUGUAGAGGUGAAAUUCGUAGAUAUUCGCAAGAACACCAGUGGCGAAGGCGGCUCACUGGCCCGGUACUGACGCUGAGGUGCGAAAGCGUGGGGAGCAAACAGG
rnacentral:rRNA from 1 species